GAUGAAGAACGUAGCGAAAUGCGAUACUUGGUGUGAAUUGCAGAAUCCCGUGAACCAACGAGUCUUUGAACGCAAGUUGCGCCCGAAGCCACUAGGCCGAGGGCACGCCUGCCUGGGCGUCACACGUCGUUGCCCCCCCCCCCAUCUACUCCUUCGGGAUUGCGGGGGGCGGAUGAUGGCCUCCCGUGCGCCUAGCCGCGCGGUUGGCAUAAAUACCAAGUCCUCGGCGACGCACGCCACGACAAUCGGUGGUUGCGAAACCUCGGUUGCCCGUCGUGUGCGUUCGUCGCGCAUCGAGGGCUCGAAAAAAUGCUCGGCUCCGGCUCGGCUUUCAACGCGACCCCAGGUCAGGCGGGGUUACCCGCUGAAUUUAAGCAUAUCAAUAAGCGGAGGA
rnacentral:misc_RNA from 1 species